AGCAGCCGCGGUAAUUCCAGCUCCAAUAGCGUAUAUUAAAGUUGUUGCAGUUAAAAAGCUCGUAGUUGAAUUUCAGGCCUGGCUGGACGGUCCGCCCUUCGGGUGAGUACUGUCUGUGGUCGGGUCCUACCUUCUGGCGAAGCGUCAUGGCCUUAACCGGCCGUGGCGGGGAACCAGGACUUUUACUGUGAAAAAAUUAGAGUGUUCAAAGCAGGCAAAUCGCUUGGAUACAUUAGCAUGGAAUAAUGGAAUAGGACAAUGGUUCUAUUUGUUGGUUUCUAGGACCGUUGUAAUGAUUAAUAGGGAUAGUUGGGGGCAUUAGUAUUCAAUUGUCAGAGGUGAAAUUCUUGGAUUUAUUGAAGACUAACUACUGCGAAAGCAUUUGCCAAGGAUGUUUUCAUUAAUCAAGAACGAAAGUUAGGGGAUCGAAGACGAUCAGAUACCGUCGUAGUCUUAACCAUAAACUAUGCCGACUAGGAAUCGGGCGAUGUUGACAAAAUGACGCGCUCGGCACCUCAUG
rnacentral:rRNA from 1 species